UGCUCUUUGGAUUAGUGGGAACGGGUGAGGAACACGUGAGCAAUCUGCCCUUGACUCUGGGAUAAGCGUUGGAAACGACGUCUAAUACCGGAUACGACCCUCGGAGGCAUCUCCUGGGGGUGGAAAGAAUUUUGGUCAAGGAUGAGCUCGCGGCCUAUCAGCUUGUUGGUGAGGUAAUGGCUCACCAAGGCGACGACGGGUAGCCGGCCUGAGAGGGUGACCGGCCACACUGGGACUGAGACACGGCCCAGACUCCUACGGGAGGCAGCAGUGGGGAAUAUUGCACAAUGGGCGAAAGCCUGAUGCAGCAACGCCGCGUGAGGGACGACGGCCUUCGGGUUGUAAACCUCUUUUAGUAGGGAAGAAGCGAAAGUGACGGUACCUGCAGAAAAAGCACCGGCUAACUACGUGCCAGCAGCCGCGGUAAUACGUAGGGUGCAAGCGUUGUCCGGAAUUAUUGGGCGUAAAGAGCUCGUAGGCGGUUUGUCGCGUCUGCUGUGAAAACCCGAGGCUCAACCUCGGGCCUGCAGUGGGUACGGGCAGACUAGAGUGCGGUAGGGGAGAUUGGAAUUCCUGGUGUAGCGGUGGAAUGCGCAGAUAUCAGGAGGAACACCGAUGGCGAAGGCAGAUCUCUGGGCCGUAACUGACGCUGAGGAGCGAAAGCAUGGGGAGCGAACAGGAUUAGAUACCCUGGUAGUCCAUGCCGUAAACGUUGGGAACUAGAUGUGGGGACCAUUCCACGGUCUCCGUGUCGCAGCUAACGCAUUAAGUUCCCCGCCUGGGGAGUACGGCCGCAAGGCUAAAACUCAAAGGAAUUGACGGGGGCCCGCACAAGCGGCGGAGCAUGCGGAUUAAUUCGAUGCAACGCGAAGAACCUUACCAAGACUUGACAUAUACGAGAACGGGCCAGAAAUGGUCAACUCUUUGGACACUCGUAAACAGGUGGUGCAUGGUUGUCGUCAGCUCGUGUCGUGAGAUGUUGGGUUAAGUCCCGCAACGAGCGCAACCCUCGUCCUAUGUUGCCAGCACGUAAUGGUGGGAACUCAUGGGAUACUGCCGGGGUCAACUCGGAGGAAGGUGGGGAUGACGUCAAAUCAUCAUGCCCCUUAUGUCUUGGGCUUCACGCAUGCUACAAUGGCCGGUACAAAGGGCUGCAAUACCGUAAGGUGGAGCGAAUCCCAAAAAGCCGGUCUCAGUUCGGAUUGAGGUCUGCAACUCGACCUCAUGAAGUCGGAGUCGCUAGUAAUCGCAGAUCAGCAACGCUGCGGUGAAUACGUUCCCGGGCCUUGUACACACCGCCCGUCAAGUCAUGAAAGUCGGUAACACCCGAAGCCAGUGGCCUAACCCGCAAGGGGAGG
rnacentral:rRNA from 1 species